rnacentral:lncRNA from 1 species
GAUGCCACAUGAAGAGGUGUCCAUCCUUCAUUUUGCGUAGUGUCAACAUUUGCUCUAUUAUCAAUCAGUAAUUUCACAACCUCAAGAUGACCAUUUUGGGAUGCAAAAUGGAGAGGUGUCCAUCCUUCAUUUUGCGUAGUGUCAACAUUUGCUCUAUUAUCAAUCAGUAAUUUCACAACCUCAAGAUGACCAUUUUGGGAUGCAAAAUGGAGAGGUGUCCAUCCUUCAUAU